rnacentral:SRP_RNA from 1 species
GCCAGGCAUGGUGGUGCAUGCCUGUAGUCCCAGCUACUCGGGAGGCUGAGGCAGGAGAAUUGCUUGAACCAGGGAGGCGGAGGUUGCAGUGAGCUGAGAUUGCACCACUGCAUUCCAGCCUGGGUAACAGAGCAAGACUCUGUCUCAA